rnacentral:rRNA from 1 species
UACGUAGGGCGCAAGCGUUGUCCGGAAUUAUUGGGCGUAAAGAGCUCGUAGGCGGCUUGUCACGUCGGUUGUGAAAGCCCGGGGCUUAACCCCGGGUCUGCAGUCGAUACGGGCAGGCGUAGAGUGUGGUAGGGGAGAUCGGAAUUCCUGGUGUAGCGGUGAAAUGCGCAGAUAUCAGGAGGAACACCUGAGGCGAAGGCGGGCUACUGGGCCGAUACUAACGCUGAUGCGCGAAAGCCAGGGGAGCGAACGGG